rnacentral:rRNA from 1 species
GAUGAACGCUAGCGGCAGGCUUAACACAUGCAAGUCGAGGGGUAUUGGUUUUCGGACCAAGAGACCGGCGCACGGGUGCGUAACGCGUAUGCAAUCUACCUUUUGCAGAGGGAUAGCCCCAGAGAAAUUUGGAUUAAUACCUCAUAGUAUAGUACUUUGGCAUCAAGGAACUAUUAAAGUCACAACGGCAAAAGAUGAGCAUGCGUCCCAUUAGCUAGUUGGUAAGGUAACGGCUUACCAAGGCUACGAUGGGUAGGGGUCCUGAGAGGGAGAUCCCCCACACUGGUACUGAGACACGGACCAGACUCCUACGGGAGGCAGCAGUGAGGAAUAUUGGACAAUGGGCGCAAGCCUGAUCCAGCCAUGCCGCGUGCAGGAUGACGGUCCUAUGGAUUGUAAACUGCUUUAUACAGGAAGAAACACUCCGACGUGUCGAGCUUGACGGUACUGUAAGAAUAAAGGAUC